rfam:Asian citrus Psyllid, Diaphorina citri - Florida Strain, whole genome shotgun sequence.
GCCUAGUUAGCUUGGAGGGUAAAGCGUCUGCCUUGUAAGCGCUAGGUCGCGGGUUCGAUUCCCACCCGGGGCG